CCAUACGACCGUACCGCAAACCGACACUGGUGCGCGAGAUGAGUAUUCUAAGGCGCUUGAGAGAACUCAGGAGAAGGAACUCGGCAAAUUGACACCGUAACUUCGGAAGAAGGUGUGCCCUAUUAGUGUGUAGUGAACAACGAAGCAUGAAUGGGUUGCAAAAAAUCGGUGGCUGCGACUGUUUAUUAAAAACACAGCACUCUGCAAACACGAAAGUGGACGUAUAGGGUGUGACGCCUGCCCGGUGCUGGAAGAUUAAAUGAUGGGGUGCAAGCUCUUGAUUGAAGUCCCAGUAAACGGCGGCCGUAACGAUAACGGUCCUAAGGUAGCGAAAUUCCUUGUCGGGUAAGUUCCGACCUGCACGAAUGGCGUAACGAUGGCCACACUGUCUCCUCCUGAGACUCAGCGAAGUUGAAAUGUUUGUGAUGAUGCAAUCUCCCCGCGGAAAGACGGAAAGACCCCAUGAACCUUUACUGUAGCUUUGUAUUGGACUUUGAACAGAUCUGUGUAGGAUAGGUGGGAGGCUUUGAAGCAGGGUCGCUAGAUCUUGUGGAGCCAACGUUGAAAUACCACCCUGGUGUGUUUGAGGUUCUAACCUAGGUCCAUUAUCUGGAUCGGGGACAGUGCAUGGUAGGCAGUUUGACUGGGGCGGUCUCCUCCCAAAGCGUAACGGAGGAGUUCGAAGGUACGCUAGUUACGGUCGGACAUCGUGACGAUAGUGCAAUGGCAUAAGCGUGCUUAACUGCGAGACUGACAAGUCGAGCAGAUGCGAAAGCAGGACAUAGUGAUCCGGUGGUUCUGUAUGGAAGGGCCAUCGCUCAACGGAUAAAAGGUACUCUGGGGAUAACAGGCUGAUACCGCCCAAGAGUUCAUAUCGACGGCGGUGUUUGGCACCUCGAUGUCGGCUCAUCUCAUCCUGGGGCUGUAGCCGGUCCCAAGGGUAUGGCUGUUCGCCAUUUAAAGAGGUACGUGAGCUGGGUUUAAAACGUCGUGAGACAGUUUGGUCCCUAUCUUCCGUGGGCGCUGCAGAUUUGAGGAAGCCUGCUCCUAGUACGAGAGGACCGGAGUGGACACACCUCUGGUGUAUCGGUUGUCACGCCAGUGGCAUUGCCGAGUAGCUAAGUGUGGAAGAGAUAACCGCUGAAAGCAUCUAAGCGGGAAACUCGUUUCAAGAUGAGAUCUGCCGGGGCCUUGAGCCCCCUAAAGAGUCGUUCAAGACCAGGACGUUGAUAGGUCAGGUGUGGAAGCG
rnacentral:rRNA from 1 species